rnacentral:rRNA from 1 species
UACGGAGGGUGCAAGCGUUAUCCGGAUUCACUGGGCUUAAAGGGUGCGUAGGUGGGCUAGUAAGUCCGUGGUGAAAUCUCCAAGCUUAACUUGGAAACUGCCGUGGAUACUAUUAGUCUUGAAUAUUGUGGAGGUAAGCGGAAUAUGUCAUGUAGCGGUGAAAUGCUUAGAUAUGACAUAGAACACCGAUAGCGAAGGCAGCUUGCUACACAAUCAUUGACACUGAGGCACGAAAGCGUGGGGAUCAAACAGG